GGGUUUACCCAUUGGUCAGGCUUAAUUGUCUGCACUGGUGAGAUGAAUCUCUACCUUCUGAGGAACUUUCAUGCCAUUUAUUUGGUGUGAUUGGAAAUCAGGACUGUUACUUUGAAAAAAUUAGAGUGUUUAAAGCAGGCUAACGUCUGAAUACAUUAGCAUGGAAUAAUGAAAUAGGACGGACUGAUUCUAUUUCGUUGGUUUCUAGGAUCACCGUA
rnacentral:rRNA from 1 species